GAUGAACGCUGGCGGCGUGCUUAACACAUGCAAGUCGAACGAAAAGACGAGACGCUUGCUUCUCGGAUGUUAGCGGCACACGGGUGAGUAACACGUGGAUAACCUCCUUGUAAGACUGGGAUAACCAGGGGAAUCCGGAUCUAAUACGGGAGAAUAUUCUGCACCACAUGGUUCAAAAGUAAAAUACGGUGUUGCGGUCACUAAUAGAUGGAUCUGAGCUGGAUUAGCUAGUUGGUGAGGUAACGGCUUACCACGGCAACGAUGCAUAGCCGACCUGAGAGGGUGAUCGGCGGCCCUGGAGCGGGGACGCGCCCCAGAGUCCUAAGGGAGGCACCAGUAGGGCACCUGCGGCAGGGGGCGGAAGCCUGACGGAGCAACGGGGCGUGAGUGAUAAAGAGCUACGGAUCGUAAAGCACUGUUUUUAGGUGUAAACAUAUGUCUAAGUACAGGUAGAAAUAUGGACGGUACUGAGGAAGAAAGCCCCGGCUAACUACGG
rnacentral:rRNA from 1 species